UUUGUGUGGUAGGUAGAGGUAGGGCACAGGAUAGCGGAUGUCAUUCCAGAUCUAGAGCAGAGCCCAACUGGGGAAGAACCUCUACCUUACAGAAAACCGCAGCCAAAUAUCACUAGACCCUAUUCAUUGUGUUGUGUUCCUGCCGGUGAGUAAGGUUGCCAGAGCCCAACGAGGGUGCGGAUGGUAGGGUCGGCAACGCGCAUGUAGUACAUCUGGAGUUGCAGGCGUACAUAGGCUACGGAGACUGCUUACCAUCAGGCGCGCCGUAUGCUUGUUUGCCACAGACGUAGUAUAAAAAAAUGUAACUCACCUAGAAACCCUUAUAGUUUCGCCAUGUCUGUCUGUCUGUCCGAGGCUUUGCUCCGUGAUCGUUAGUGCUAAAAAGCUGCAAUUUGGCAUGGAUACAUAAAUUAUGCAUUGCGACAGAACGGUAAAAUAAAAAUAAUAAUA